CAAUUUCUGUUUUAGAAAUGCGACACAGAACCUAUACAGCCCAAAGUGGAGAGGGUUGUCUCCUUUUGUUGGAGAAUUCCAAAUUUUACAGAGAGCAGUACACAACAACCUUCAACUGCUGAUGGAGACAAUCCCUUAACAAGUGGGCCAUUUAUAGAUGAAGGCUACAGAUGGAGAGGACUGUACUUCAGACAACAAAAAUUGUUCCUGCAGCUUCUCUCAGCAUCCCAUCCAGUUAGUGCGGAAGUUCAAAUUUUAAUGGCCCAAGGAAGUGACAAGGAGCAGGUGCUGGAUUCAGACGUGGUGUCCGUGAAAGAAGGAGAAAUGCGGAGUAGGAAGAUACUGAACGUGGAAAGUCUACGGGAUGGAAAUGGAAGCCUUGAUGUUAAGUUUAUUAUUUACUACCUCAACUUGUAUUAAUUACGUUAACAGGUCAUAAAAUGUUAAUUUCAGUCAGUACAAAAA